rnacentral:rRNA from 1 species
AGCGAACGCUGGCGGCAGGCCUAACACAUGCAAGUCGAACGAACUCUUCGGAGUUAGUGGCGGACGGGUGAGUAACACGUGGGAACGUGCCUUUUGGUUCGGAAUAACUCAGGGAAACUUGUGCUAAUACCGAAUGUGCCCUUCGGGGGAAAGAUUUAUCGCCAUUAGAGCGGCCCGCGUCUGAUUAGCUAGUUGGUGAGGUAACGGCUCACCAAGGCGACGAUCAGUAGCUGGUCUGAGAGGAUGACCAGCCACACUGGGACUGAGACACGGCCCAGACUCCUACGGGAGGCAGCAGUGGGGAAUCUUGCGCAAUGGGCGAAAGCCUGACGCAGCCAUGCCGCAUGAAUGAUGAAGGUCUUAGGAUUGUAAAAUUCUUUCACCGGGGACGAUAAUGACGGUACCCGGAGAAGAAGCCCCGGCUAACUUCGUG